AUGGCAGAUGUUUAGCAUCAGGAAUCAAAACAGCAUUUUCGCACCACACAGCACAUUCUUCUCUUCCAGAUACCUUUCAUUUCCUCUCUACAGGAUAUGGAGCAAUUUUCUUCUUUUGCUGCUGUUCAUGUGAACUCAGGAGUCUGUGAAUUAUACCAGGACAUUUGAAUUCCCAUGUAAUCUUUUCUGAGAGGCUUCUCAGGAAUGUCUCCAGCAGCAAUACCAUAGGCAGUGUGUCAUCCAGUGUGAGCAUCCUGGAGGAAAACACAGGUCCUGGUCUGUUCAACUUCCUCCCCAUGGACGACUGUUUCUUUACUUUUUCUGCUCAAGGGUAAAAGAAGGACUGAGGAAUCUUAUAUGAGUCUGCUAGAGGCAGUAAGAGGAAAGGACCUUUCUCAGAGUCAGAGAUUGCAGAUGACCUCAUGCUGAAGAGACAGGAUGCAAUGCACAAAGCUUCUGGGGUACCCACAGGGCACCACGAGGAACUUGGCAGACCUGUGGAGUGGGAAGUCAAGCAGGCAGCCCAAAGGCACCACAGCCAGAAGAGAAACAGGAGGAGGAUGUGGAAAUAAUUGGAAAUCCCUGGGUUCCAGAAAGUCAGCGGAGAACAUGCCAGCACCCUUAAGCUAA
rnacentral:lncRNA from 1 species